UCCUUUCUUUUGGAUAUAUACCCAGCAGUGGAAUUGCUGCAUCACAUGGUAGUUCUAUUUCUAGUUUUCUGAGGAACCUUUAUAUUGUUCUCCAUAGGGGCUGCACUAAUUUACAUUCCCACCAACAGAAUACAAGGGGUCCCCUUUGGUACAUUCUCCCCAGUAUCUAUUAUUCCCUUUUUGAUAAUAGUCAUUUUAACUGGGGUGAGAUGAUAUCUCAUUGUGUUUUUGAUUUGUAUUUUUCUGAUAAAUAGUGAUAUUGACCAUUUUUGGGCUAUACCUGUUGGCCAUUUGUGUGUCUUCUUUUAGAGAUGUCUGUUCACAUGUUUUGUCCAUUUUUAAAUUGGAUUACUUGUUUUUUUUUUUUUGCUAUGGAGUUGUUUGAAUUCUUUAUACAUUCUGGUUAUUAAUCUCCUGUCAAAUGAGUAGUUUACAAAUAGUUUCUGUCAUUCUCUCUCUGUUUGGAAUUCCUGGGCGCAGACACCCUCGGAUUUGCAGCUUUCCGCUUUUGACUGCAGUGUUGCCUAUUCCUGGUGCUUAGCAAUUUGCCUCCUUUAUUAAAUACUUGCCUUCUGUCAGUGCUGUGUGAAGGACUCUGGGAAUUGCAUCAUUUCAUCCUUGCAUGAAGUUGGGACUGUUUUGUUCUCAGUUUACAGUUGAGGAAAUUGAGGCACAGAGUGGCUGAGCUGCCCUCACCCAAGCUGCUGGGGCUGUGUCCUGUGGGACCAGCCAUGGAGCCCAUGUCCCAUGGCUCCUUUAGAGCUCUUGCAUGCCUUCCAACGCUGCUUCCCAUGCUGGAGGCCUACCGUGCUCUACUAUAUUUAAGUCGGCUCCUGUCCAGGCAUUUUUUCCAUGAGUUCAGCAAAGAUUUCAGCUGCUUGGCCCUGUGCUGAGAGAUGGGAUACAGCAGUAAUCAGGGCAGAUAGGAUUCCUGGCCUCAGAGCUGCUGCUUCUUGGGGAAAGGGACACAAAAAAAGUUGGCAGGAAGAAGAACAGCACUAGCAAGCCUGAUGUGUUCUGCAUAAGAAGAGGCAGCCAAGGGCUGAGCUAUAGACUCGCGUGGAGAGGGUCUGGAGUGGGCCAGGUGGCCUGAUGGGGAGUGUUGAUGCUCCAAGGAGGCUAUGAGCAGGGGAAGGCGGAAGGUGGCCAGGGCCACAGGUUUGAAAAAAUUCCAAGUACAAGGCAGAGAGCAUGCAAAGGCCACGAGGGAGGAUAGAGUUUUGAGAAUUUGGAAGCCAGGCAGGUGAGCAAAGUGACUCCAGCAUGGGACAACAGUGUCUGGGCAGCCUGCAGAUGAGGCACGAGCCCCAUGGGUCAGGCCUGGCAGCUGUUGCUGGGAAAUUGUGUGCAUUUGAAGUACAGAGGGUGACGAUGUCAUCUGGUGGGCUCCCCAGAGCUAGAGCUGGUUGAGUGGGAAGCAGUGAGGAUGCUCAGAGACAGGGCAGCUGAGUCCCAGUUCAGAUGCGGGGCAAAGGCCUGGAGUUGGCAGCAGAGAUAGAAGGAAGUGGAUGGCUCUCAGACACU